rnacentral:rRNA from 1 species
GACGAACGCUGGCGGCGUGCUUAACACAUGCAAGUCGAACGGUGAUGCUCGAGCUUGCUGGCGUGGAUCAGUGGCGAACGGGUGAGUAACACGUGAGCAACCUGCACCAGACUGUGGAAUAUGCGCUGGAAAUGGCGUCUCAUACUGGAUACGAAACUGGCCCGCAUGGGCAUGGUUUGGAAAGUUUUUCGGUUUGGGAUGGGCUAGCGGCCUAUCAGCUUGUUGGUGAGGUAAUGGCUCACCAAGGCGACGACGGGUAGCCGGCCUGAGAAGGCGACCAGCCACACUGGGACUGAGACACGGCCCAGACUCCUACGUGAGGCAGCAGUGGAGAAUAUUGCACAAUGGGCGAAAGCCUGAGGCAGCGACGCCGCGUGAGGGAUGACGGCCUUCGGGUUGUAAACCUCUUUCAGCAGAGAAGAAGCGAAAGUGACGGUACCUGCAGAAGAAGCACCGGCUAACUACGUG